rnacentral:rRNA from 1 species
UACGUAGGGUGCAAGCGUUGUCCGGAAUUAUUGGGCGUAAAGAGCUCGUAGGCGGUUCGUCACGUCGGCUGUGAAAUCCCGAGGCUCAACCUCGGGUCUGCAGUCGAUACGGGCGGACUGGAGUACUGCAGGGGAGACUGGAAUUCCUGGUGUAGCGGUGAAAUGCGCAGAUAUCAGGAGGAACACCGGUGGCGAAGGCGGGUCUCUGGGCAGUAACUGACGCUGAUGCGCGAAAGCUAGGGGAGCAAACAGG